rnacentral:rRNA from 1 species
AUGAAAUUCUAUUAUACCAAAGGGACUUGGUAAAGGCGAAGGCAGCCCUCUAUGUAAAAACUGACGUUGAAGGACGAAGGCACAGAGCACAAACAGGAUUAGAUACCCAAGUAGUCUUUGCAGUAAAUGAUGAAUGUCAUAGGUUAGAUUAAGCUUUAAUUAAUUAGUUUAUCAGUAAUGAACUAACUAUUAAACAAUAUUUAGUCUAUAAAUGAAAGUGUAAGCAUUCCACCUCAAGAGUAAUGUGGCAACGCAGGAACUGAAAUCACUAGACCGUUUCUGACACCAGUAGUGAAGUAUGUUGUUUAAUUCGAUGAUCCACGAAAAACCUUACCACAAUUUGAAUAUUUUACAGGAGUUGCACGGCUGUUUUCAGUUAAUGUUGUGAAACUGUGGUUUCCAUGAAAUUAACGCAAUCCCUGGCUUUAUUUUUUUUUUAUUACGAUAAAGCAUUUGAUCCAGGAUUUGGAAAGAAAAAGGGGACAAAGACAAGUCAUCAUGGCCUUGAUAUUGUGGGCUAUAGACGUGCCACAUAUUCCUACACAAAGAGAUGCAAAAAUGUGAAUUUAAGCUAAUCUCUAAAAAUAGGAUAUAAAUUUUAAGGAUUAUAGUCUGAAACUCGACUAUAUGAAUAAGUAAUUACUAGUAAUCGUGAAUCACCAUGUCACGGUGAAUUUACCUUGGAUUGGUACUAACCACUCGUCACAUGCUGAAAAGAGCAUGCGCAAUAAGUUUGCUUUCUUGAUGAUCAGUAAAAAGAAUAAGCAGGUUCUAUAUUCUAUUAUUAAG